ACAACAAAAGGUAUGUUUUCUUUUCUUCUUCUUCUUCUCUCUCUCUCUCUCUCCCUUUCUCCCUCUCGCUCUAUUUCGUUGCCGACCACAGAGAGGGUGCCGCUGACUACACUCACUCGAACGGUGCUGCCCCUCCGUCUCUUGCAUAGCCGAUCGCGAGCAGCACCGAUCGUGACCCUCUCUAUGGUUGCUGCUAUCUCCCCUCUCUCUGUUAUUGUUCUUCAUAUUUGUUUUGGAGAAGACAAGUUUUAUCGGUUGGUGUUCGUUGUGGGUAAGUACUCGUAUGUGGCCAUAUUUGUUCACUGCUUCCUGCGAAAAAACCAUUUUGUAUAUUUAGAAAUAAAAACAAGAUAUAAAUUAUAUCUCUUAGAUCUCUAUAAUAAACCAAUUGAUUUUUAUAAUAUAUAAAAAAAUUAAAUUAAGAAAAACCCAUAAUUUUCUACUCUAAAUAGACCCAUCAAGCCCCUGAAGAUUCAGAUUGUGUUGAAUCUUUUCCUCUUCUCUCUCACUGAAAGAUACCCAAAAGCCUUCUCCUCGGCCUCUCAUUCUUAAGGUAAUUUUGAUUUAUUUCUUUUUAAAAUUUUCAAUUUAAUUUGUUAUUGCAAGCUUGGAUCUUUCAUUCGAUUGAUCUGUAUAUUGAUGUGAAUAUCAUUGGAUGGUACUUUUUGUUUCAAAUGAUAUAUGGGUUAUGCUCUGUUUUCGAGUUUAACAUUGAUUUGUUUUUGUUUUUGUUACUAUGAUUUGUUUUUUUUAUAAUUUGAGAAUGUGGAUAAAUAUUACUCACCUAGGUAAUAAAUAUUCCUCCACCAAACUCAAUCCUGUAAUUACUUUAUCUUCUAUGAGUUUUGGUUUUGAAACAAAAAGAUAGGUUGCAAUCCAAGAAAUUUAGAGAAAAUAGUGCCAAAUUUUGCUUGAUUUGUUUAGAGCUCAAAGAAUUAUAGUGAAAGCCAAUGAAGAAAAAUUAGGGUUUAUAUAAUGUGAAAACAUUUAUGCCCUGCAAUUUAUGAUGUACUGAAUUGUUUCAUUACAUUUUUGAAAACACCUGUUUUAGCAAAUUUUUAAUUUUAUUUUUUGUUUCGUUGAUUUUGGUUUUCAAAGCAUAGGAAAUUCACUCCAAGAAAUGUAGAGAAAACACUACCAGGUUUGCUUGAUUUGUUUAUUGUCUACACAUGAGAAGGGGGCUUACAUAGUGGAAUAUAUAUAUAUAUAUAUAUAUAAUAAAUAUACAAAUAGAAGGUGGCCUGCUAUGAUUUCUUGGGACUAUCUCUACACAUGUGCACCAAAAGACUAAAGUUGAAUUUAUUUAUUUUUCUUUGAAUAGUUGAAGUUGAUUCAUAUAAUUUGGUCAUUGUAGGAAUGUGAUUCUGUACAUUUGAAGGUGGAAUUGUUAAUAUAAAUUUCAUACCAUGUUUUAUGUAUUUAGGAGCUUAAUUUAUGGGUAUUAAUUGAUUGUGAUUUCUAAUUUAGCUUGUUGGUUUUUAAUGAAUAAUUCUAUACAUACUAACAAUCUUACUAAAAUUAUAAAUGGUUAGAUGUGAUUGGUUAUCAAAAAAAUAACAAGAUUUAAACCACCAAAUAAUAUUUGGACAUGGAUGUUUUUAGUAGGAUUCUGUUUUUGUUUUUUGCUGUUAAUUUAUCCAUGGAACUUUUCAAUAUGUGUCAAUUUAAUGUUGGGCUGCUUGAUGCUAAUGUGAAUGGGUCAUCUAUUCCAACCAUGACGAAACUCAAUGGCAGGCCUAAAGGUAAUAAAUAUAGUUUUUUUAAUCAUUUGAAUCCUUCUUGACUUGUUUCAAAAUCUAUGGUGUCAUUGAUGUGAAGUACUAUAAUGCAUGAUAGUGAAUUGCUAAGGGUAGUUCUAAGAGAUAUAGAUUUGCUUUUAAUUUACUGCUCAUAUUUUACUAGUUAAUUUAAUAUCCCUUUCUUGCUCACAUUUUAAUGUGAAUAUUCUUUGCUUGUGUCAGAUUGGUGUUGGAUUAGAUAUAGUUGGUACCUUUUGAAUUAUGUUAUGAUAUUUUCUACUGCUUCUUGAAAACUAUGGAAUCAGUGUGAAAGUUCUUGGACAUGUGUCAAGGGGAGGGGACUUGAUUGGGGAAGCUUGAUAUUCUCGUGGUGGAUACGCUGUUGGGACUGAUUGACAAUGGAUGGAGCACAGUUCGGGGAGCAUAAGAGGAUUACAUUUUAAAUUUUUGGAUAUAUUUUGUCAUAGGAUUUUGUACCUUGGAAAUUUUUUUGUAAUCAUUAUGUACAUGUUUGAAGUUUCGGAUUGUAAUGGAUUUGCUUAUGUUGGAUGUUUUGGAUUUGAUAAUUUGAACA